rnacentral:rRNA from 1 species
GAGAUGCGUAGCUGAUGGGAAACAGGUCAAUAUUCCUGUACCGAUGUGUAGUGCGAUGUGGGGACGGAUCUUAAUAGGUCAUCCGGGUGUUGGACAUCCCGGUUUAGUUGGAAGUAGGCGUGCGUUAGGCAAAUCCGGCGCACAUAUACCGAGGCCAACGAUCGAGCCAGCUUGCUGGUGAAGUGACUGAACGAGGUUCCAGGAAAAGCCACUAAGCUUCAGCUACACACGACCGUACCGCAAACCGACACUGGUGCGCGAGAUGAGUAUUCUAAGGCGCUUGAGAGAACUCAGGAGAAGGAACUCGGCAAAUUGACACCGUAACUUCGGAAGAAGGUGUGCCCUAUUAGUGUGAAGUGAACAACGGAGCAUGAAUGGGUUGCAAAAAAUCGGUGGCUGCGACUGUUUAUUAAAAACACAGCACUCUGCAAACACGAAAGUGGACGUAUAGGGUGUGACGCCUGCCCGGUGCUGGAAGAUUAAAUGAUGGGGUGCAAGCUCUUGAUUGAAGUCCCAGUAAACGGCGGCCGUAACAAUAACGGUCCUAAGGUAGCGAAAUUCCUUGUCGGGUAAGUUCCGACCUGCACGAAUGGCGUAACGAUGGCCACACUGUCUCCUCCUGAGACUCAGCGAAGUUGAAAUGUUUGUGAUGAUGCAAUCUCCCCGCGGAAAGACGGAAAGACCCCAUGAACCUUUACUGUAGCUUUGUAUUGGACUUUGAACAGAUCUGUGUAGGAUAGGUGGGAGGCUUUGAAGCAGGGUCGCUAGAUCUUGUGGAGCCAACGUUGAAAUACCACCCUGGUGUGUUUGAGGUUCUAACCUAGGUCCAUUAUCUGGAUCGGGGACAGUGCAUGGUAGGCAGUUUGACUGGGGCGGUCUCCUCCCAAAGCGUAACGGAGGAGUUCGAAGGUACGCUAGUUACGGUCGGACAUCGUGACGAUAGUGCAAUGGCAUAAGCGUGCUUAACUGCGAGACUGACAAGUCGAGCAGAUGCGAAAGCAGGACAUAGUGAUCCGGUGGUUCUGUAUGGAAGGGCCAUCGCUCAACGGAUAAAAGGUACUCUGGGGAUAACAGGCUGAUACCGCCCAAGAGUUCAUAUCGACGGCGGUGUUUGGCACCUCGAUGUCGGCUCAUCUCAUCCUGGGGCUGUAGCCGGUCCCAAGGGUAUGGCUGUUCGCCAUUUAAAGAGGUACGUGAGCUGGGUUUAAAACGUCGUGAGACAGUUUGGUCCCUAUCUUCCGUGGGCGCUGCAGAUUUGAGGAAGCCUGCUCCUAGUACGAGAGGACCGGAGUGGACACACCUCUGGUGUAUCGGUUGUCACGCCAGUGGCAUUGCCGAGUAGCUAAGUGUGGAAGAGAUAACCGCUGAAAGCAUCUAAGCGGGAAACUCGUUUCAAGAUGAGAUCUGCCGGGGCCUUGAGCCCCCUAAAGAGUCGUUCAAGACCAGGACGUUGAUAGGUCAGGUGUGGAAGCGCAGUAAUGCGUUAAGCUAACUGAUACUAAUUGCUCGUGCGGCUUGACCU